rnacentral:rRNA from 1 species
UACGAAGGGGGCUAGCGUUGUUCGGAAUCACUGGGCGUAAAGCGCACGUAGGCGGAUUCUUAAGUCAGGGGUGAAAUCCCGAGGCUCAACCUCGGAACCGCCUUUGAUACUGGGGAUCUCGAGUCCGGGAGAGGUGAGUGGAAUUGCGAGUGUAGAGGUGAAAUUCGUAGAUAUUCGCAAGAACACCAGUGGCGAAGGCGGCUCACUGGCCCGGAACUGACGCUGAGGUGCGAAAGCGUGGGGAGCAAACAGGG